rnacentral:lncRNA from 1 species
AUCAUAUUUGAUCUCGAACGUCCAUUAAAAUUUUAAUUUAAUCGUCAAUUUUUAACUGCCUAAACCAAAUUAGACCGAUUGAAUCCGACCAAAUCGAAGUGGAUCAAAUCGACCAGUCAAAUACCAAUUUUGGUUGGUUACGAAACGGAUCGAUUUUAAUUGCUCCACACAUGUGAAGAGGGACUCUCACAACCCUAAACAUUAAUUAAACAUUUUCUCUCUCCUCUGGUCCAUCUUUCCUCCUCUCUCCUCCACAACAAGUAUUUCCACGUUCCUUCAUCUUCUCUCUCAUCUUUGUUGUUGUCUAGCAAACCUCUUUUUUCAUAACCCAUGGCAGUGGCAUCGAGCAGAGAAAAUGGAUUUUGCAAUUUUGGAGGGAUUCAACAGAGGUCGUGAUUCGGAAGUGCAUAAAGUGUUGGGGGUACCAUUAGCUCUGAUACCAUUUGUUGUGCCCAAAAUAAAUUAUCAAUCACAUUUGCCAAGAUCAACCACACACACAAGAUAAGAUUUAUGUGGUUCGGCUAAUCAUGCCUAUAUCUACGGAGAGAAAUCGAUAAUCCACUAUAUCACACGAAUGGAUUACAAUGAGUAUACAAGUGAGGAGAUCACACUCUCUCACUCACUCGUCUCAUCUUUCUAUCUCUCUCUGUCUUGCUCUCUUCUCUCAUAACCUCACAACCCUCUCUCUUUAAGAACUCUCUCUAUGAGAACUCUCACAACACUCUGCAACCACCCUGCCACUCUGCACAUAACACUCUGUUGUGUGCCCCUAGUAACCCCCAGCCCCUUACAUCUCUG